rnacentral:rRNA from 1 species
GACGAACGCUGGCGGCGUGCUUAACACAUGCAAGUCGAACGAGGCCCCUCCUUCGGGAGGGUGUCCUAGUGGCGAACGGGUGAGUAACACGUGGGCAACCUGCCCCCGGCUCUGGGAUAACCCCAAGAAAUUGGGGCUAAUACCGGAUAUGACCGCUGACCGCAUGGUCUGGUGGUGGAAAGAUUUAUCGGCUGGGGAUGGGCCCGCGGCCUAUCAGCUUGUUGGUGGGGUAGUGGCCUACCAAGGCGACGACGGGUAGCCGGCCUGAGAGGGUGGCCGGCAACACUGGGACGGAGACACGGCCCAGACUCCUACGGGAGGCAGCAGUGGGGAAUAUUGCGCAAUGGGCGGAAGCCUGACGCAGCGACGCCGCGUGAGGGAUGACGGCCUUCGGGUUGUAAACCUCUUUCAGCAGGGACGAAGCGCAAGUGACGGUACCUGCAGAAGAAGCACCGGCCAACUACGUGCCAGCCGCCGCAGUAAUAC